rfam:Homo sapiens chromosome 2, GRCh38 reference primary assembly.
UAGGACAUGGUGUAAUAGGUAGAAUGGAGAAUUUUGAAUUCUCAGGGGUAGGUUCAAUUCCUAUAGUUCUAG